rnacentral:rRNA from 1 species
GAUUAACGCUGGCGGCGUGCAUAACACAUGCAAGUCGAACGAUGAAGCUUUUUUGAUUUCUUCGGAAUGAUUAAAAGUGGAUUAGUGGCGGACGGGUGAGUAACGCGUGAGUAACCUGCCUUAGAGAAGGGGAUAGCCUUUGGAAACGAAGAAUAAUACCCUAUGAAACCAUAACCUCGCAUGAGGCCUUGGUCAAAGAUUUAUCGCUCUAAGAUGGACUUGCGUCUGAUUAGUUAGUUGGUGGGGUAACGGCCUACCAAGACAGCGAUCAGUAGCCGGCUUGAGAGAGUGUACGGCCACAUUGGGACUGAGACACGGCCCAGACUCCUACGGGAGGCAGCAGUGGGGAAUUUUGCACAAUGGGGGAAACCCUGAUGCAGCGACGCCGCGUGAUUUAGAAGGCCUUCGGGUUGUAAAAAUCUUUUCUAUGGGAAGAAAAUGACAGUACCAUAGGAAUAAGGACCGGCUAAUUACGUGCCAGCAGCCGCGGUAAUACGUAAGGUCCGAGCGUUGUCCGGAAUCAUUGGGCGUAAAGGGUACGUAGGCGGGUAAGCAAGUUAGAAGUGAAAUCCUAUAGCUCAACUAUAGUAAGCUUUUAAAACUGCUCAUCUUGAGGUAUGGAAGGGAAAGUGGAAUUCCUAGUGUAGCGGUGAAAUGCGCAGAUAUUAGGAGGAAUACCGGUGGCGAAGGCGACUUUCUGGCCAUAACCUGACGCUGAGGUACGAAAGCGUGGGUAGCAAACAGGAUUAGAUACCCUGGUAGUCCACGCCGUAAACGAUGAGUGUUAGGUGUCUGGAGUAAAUCUGGGUGCCGCAGCUAACGCAUUAAACACUCCGCCUGGGGAGUACGCGCGCAAGCGUG